GACGAACGCUGGCGGCGUGCCUAAUACAUGCAAGUUGAGCGCUGAAGGUUGGUACUUGUACCGACUGGAUGAGCAGCGAACGGGUGAGUAACGCGUGGGGAAUCUGCCUUUGAGCGGGGGACAACAUUUGGAAACGAAUGCUAAUACCGCAUAAAAACUUUAAACACAAGUUUUAAGUUUGAAAGAUGCAAUUGCAUCACUCAAAGAUGAUCCCGCGUUGUAUUAGCUAGUUGGUGAGGUAAAGGCUCACCAAGGCGAUGAUACAUAGCCGACCUGAGAGGGUGAUCGGCCACGUUGGGACUGAGACACGGCCCAAACUCCUACGGGAGGCAGCAGUAGGGAAUCUUCGGCAAUGGACGAAAGGCUGACCGAGCAACGCCGCGUGAGUGAAGAAGGUUUUCGGAUCGUAAAACUCUGUUGGUAGAGAAGAACGUUGGUGAGAGUGGAAAGCUCAUCAAGUGACGGUAACUACCCAGAAAGGGACGGCUAACUACGUG
rnacentral:rRNA from 1 species